AUGCCUUACCAGAUAGCUCAGUUGGUUGGAGCAUGGUGCUGAUAACACCAACGUUGCAGGUUCGAUCCCUGUAUGGGAUA
rnacentral:tRNA from 1 species